rnacentral:tRNA from 1 species
GACAGCGUGUCCGAGUGGUUAAGGAGGUGGACUUGAAAUCCACUGGGCUUUGCCCGCGCAGGUUCGAAUCCUGCCGCUGUCG